CGGAACGGGUGAGUAACGCGUGAGGAACCUGCCUCAAAGAGGGGGACAACAGUUGGAAACGACUGCUAAUACCGCAUAAGCCCACGGCUCGGCAUCGAGCAGAGGGAAAAGGAGUGAUCCGCUUUGGGAUGGCCUCGCGUCCGAUUAGCUGGUUGGUGAGGUAACGGCCCACCAAGGCGACGAUCGGUAGCCGGACUGAGAGGUUGAACGGCCACAUUGGGACUGAGACACGGCCCAG
rnacentral:rRNA from 1 species